AGGACGAACGCUGGCGGCGUGCUUAACACAUGCAAGUCGUACGCGAAAGCACCUUCGGGUGUAAGUAGAGUGGCGCACGGGUGAGUAACACGUGGAUAAUCUACCCAAUGAUCUGGGAUAACAUUUCGAAAGGAAUGCUAAUACCGGAUAAGCCUACGAGACCUUCGGGUCAUGUAGGAAAAGGUGGGGACCUUCGGGCCUACUGUCAUUGGAUGAGUCCGCGGCCCAUUAGCUAGUUGGUGGGGUAAAAGCCUACCAAGGCAACGAUGGGUAGCUGGUCUGAGAGGAUGAUCAGCCACACUGGAACUGAGACACGGUCCAGACUCCUACGGGAGGCAGCAGUGGGGAAUUUUGCGCAAUGGACGAAAGUCUGACGCAGCAACGCCGCGUGAGUGAUGAAGGUUUUAGGAUCGUAAAGCUCUGUCAGUGGGGAAGAAUAGUUCGGUGGGUAAUAUUCGCUGAAAUUGACGGUACCCACAAAGGAAGCACCGGCUAACUCCG
rnacentral:rRNA from 1 species